GGUGCAUGAGAGCAGUGAUUGAAUCUCCUGUGCCCUUAGGGUUAAAUGACCAAUAAUCACAUACUUGGGAAUAAGAAAAUGAAUAAGUAGCCCAGGUGGGCAGACAGAUGUGAAUCCAGGCUCUGCCAAAUAAUAACAAUGUAACUUUAGCAAGUUACUUGUCUUCUGUGAGUAUUGGUUUCCUCAGUUUUAAUUCUUUGUUAAAAAGCAUCACAAUAUUUACUUUAAAGUGUUCUGUGAGGACUCAAGAUAAAGCAAAUAAAAUGUUUAGUAAAGUUCCUGGUCCAUAGAUCUUCCAGACAUACUUCUGCAAACUUCUCUCAUCUUUCAUUCAAGACCUGUAGCAUCCAUCACUGGGAUUUGCUUCUGCUUUAGGUGGAAGUCUGCGGUGAUCUUGUCAAGAGAGCAUCCAAAGCAGAGGAAAUGCAAGCCUGACUGGACAGUUCUGUGAGGAGAAGAGAAGGUGAGUAAGUGAAGACAAGGCUUGAUAGAUUUUGUUUUAAGGCAAACAGAGAAGUGAAACUGGAUGAGGAAAGGAGAUCUGUAGCAGAUUUCUUUGUCUUAGAUGAGUGUUAUUAGAACAUGUUGUAUUGUUGCAAUUUUAUAAAAUCAAUGAGAAACUGAUGAGACAGGAGAGAGAGGAGACUCAGACAUGAGUACCAGAAACAAGGAGUAUCCAGUGUACAAUUAAAUUUUUAAAAAACCCUUAGCCUUUGAAGAAGGAAUAUUUCACCCAUUUAACCAGAAGAGAGCAUAAAAAGGUCAAGUUGAUAAAUUUGGAUAAAGCAGUACUUUCAAUAGCUUCU
rnacentral:lncRNA from 1 species